rnacentral:lncRNA from 1 species
GCAUAAUAAAAGGGUUGAAGUCAGCCUGAAAGCCUUGGCAGCGAUUGGCGAGGGAGCAGUCUCCACAGCGGGCUGUGUGUUCCACGGGGUGACCUUCUCCCUGGGGUCCCUGCAGCCUGGACCCUGGAAGGGGCACCGCGAGGGUCUUGUGGGCGGCUCUGGAGGAGUUUCGCUUUGGCAUCUGGAUCAGGACUGAGUCAAGCCUCCCACAUUCUGCAGCAGCUCAGAGAAAAGCGCUAGAAAUUACUGGAGCUGUGGGAGAGACGGGAGCCUGCCCCGCAGCCAGAUACCCAGAGGCGUUCUCGGAAGAUGGGGGAGGUGGAAGUCCGUUUCCUGUCAGCUCCGGCAUGAACCACGGGGAGGGCUUAUGGCUGGAUGAAACCAGCGCAGGAGUCACAGAGAGGCUGCUCCACAGGAGAGCGAGUCCUCCAGAGGACAAGGCGAGAACCCAGCUGCUCAAAUGGUAGGCUCAGGCAUCGCUCAGCUAUUUGCGUCCACACGGAAGGAGCACUGCAGUGGUCCACGGGAGGACGGCUCUCAGAGCUCAGGUUGCCUUGGAACCCAUCUUAGCUUCUUGCUGGUUUGCUACAAAGCUCUCUGCACCCGGGCCUGCUCACUCGAGAGCUGGCCUUUCUGACACUAGCCAACCUACUGGAAAUAUCCAAGACUCUAAGUGGCUCAGCUCUUCUUCCCUGAGAGUUGGGGUAACAGCAGAGGGGCUUAUGUCUGAUGGGAGCAUCUCUGGCCUCCACACCAGGCACCUUUUUCCCUGGGCCUCCACUUUCCCAUCUCCUUAUUCUGUUUAAAACCGGAGAAAUAAGGGAAGGAGGUUGCUUCCCUCUUACAAGGUGCUAUAGAAUAGACUGCCCCCUGGGAAACGUGCUUCUCAGACUACCCCACAGAUGUGAAGUAUCACACGUGGGGGCUCCAUCUGGAUAUAGAAGUUGGAGUUCCCUUGCUGAGAUGCAUUCCCAGGAUGCUUUUUGACAACUCCAGACCACCCUGGUCCCUGGACCCUGAAAUCCCACACAAGAAGAAUCUGACCUAGGACACCACAACCGCAGAAUACCUCAAUAAAAGCAAUUGAAGACUCAGUGGGAUCCAGCUGUAAGGCCAGCGGAUGCCUCGGUGAUGAAGACAAUGCCUCUUCAUCUUGAAAGACUUAGCGAAUGCCUAUUCUGUGUCAACUACUAUUCCACAAACUCCAUAUUCACCCAUUCACUCACUCACUGGAUUCAUUAAUUGUCAGAUGCUGUGUUAGUCACUUUUAUAUGAAAGUCACUCUGUUCUUUUAACCAGCAGUAACUAAGCUUGCUUUGGGGAAAAAAAUAUAAAAACAUUAAGGAAUGACCAAUGCCUACAAGAUCCUCACAGUUCAGUAGAAGAGUCAGUGCUCUAAAUAAAUUCUUAAUAGUAACUAGCAUUUCUAUAGUAAUUCCUAGGUGCUAGGAGCUGUUAUAUGUCCCUUACAUGCACUAGUUCAUUUACUCCAUGCAAUAGCCAGGUAGUAGUAAGUGCUAUUAAUAUCCACAUAUUCUAAAUGACGGAACUGUGACAUAAAGAUGAGAUGAUCUGCUCAAGGCCAUACAGCUCCUGAUGGCAGAGCUGGGAGUCAGGCCCAGGAUGUGCAACUCCAGUGUCUGUACCUUAAUACUUUUCUAUGUGUGGUGUAGUUAAUGUUAUAAUAUUGGCAUAUGUUAUGGGAACACAGAGGAAGGAGUGAUUUCUUCUGCUGGGAGUAGAGAUGGGGAUGACAGAAGAUUUGCCGAGAAUUGUGUUUGAGUUGCCUGCAUAGGUGUGCGAUGCAUGCCAGCUUGAUGUGCAGGCUGGCUCUGAGCCGGACCGUGCUCCUCAUCAGACCUCCUUCUCCCUCCACAGGGAAGAAUGACCUGACAAACUCAAGAGGCAAGCCAAUUUGGUUACUAAGCCCAGGAUAAUUCAGAUGUGAAACAGAUUAAACUCAUUUGCAAUUACCAGACCUGUCCUCUUUGUGGGGAGCAUUAGAACCUCUUAGCAAUUCAGUUCAAUGAGUAUUGGCAUUGUGUUGGAUCACUGCCCUUGCAUGGCUUGCACGCUAUCUAGAAGAAAAGUGUGUGAUUAAUGGCAAAUAGGCUUGCAUUUUUUCUCUCUCAGUGUUUUGUUUUCCCUGUCCUCCCAUUAUCAGUCUAGGGUUCUCAUCAGAACAAUGAAAUAUCAGUGCCUAGAAGUAGGAAGUAAAAAGAGGCUGAACAGCCACAAAAUGGUUUACAAGAGAAUGUCCUGAGAAAGCAGAGAGGUACACGGUGUCUUCUGUAAAAAUGAGAGGAUUCAGAGUUGGUGGCCGGCGCUGGAAGGCUGCUCGGGCACUAAUUAGUUGUAUUUCUCCAGCGUGCUUCCUCAUCCCAUUGGGUCUUUGCUUCCCUCAUCAUCAUCAUUAUUAUUUUAUUAUAUUAUCAAUAUUGUUAUUAUUAUUGGAAUGAUAAUACCCAGGUUGCAGAAUUUCUGAGAAAUACAAAAUAAAUACCAUAUGUGAAACUGCAAGACCCAAGUUAGAUAUUAUUGGUCAACACAAUCCUAUUUUCUUGCCGAACUCCAUUGAAUUCCAGGCAGAUCUAGAAUCUGGUUGCCUUCUAAUUUGGGCCAAAAUCUCUGACCACUAUGGACCCUGUCAAAGGUUAGCAAUGUCUCUGGGAGUUUCUUGUGCCAGCUUUCUUUCUCUUUUUUUUUUUUUUCAGGUUAUGGAUAGCUCAAGUUUUUCCAUUCCUAAGGAAAUCUCAGCUCAAUAUCAGGGUUUUCCCAAAUUUCACCUUGAGUGCCCUGGCUACCUCUUUCUGCAUAAUCUCCAGGGUGAUUCGUCCACUGUGGGGUGAUCAGAGAUCUCAAGGGUAUGCUGGAGUUCCUAAAGCUGUAUUGCAGCACAGACAGACCUUUCUGCAGCAGUUCACUCCAACACAACUUGUCUAACACUUUUUCUCCUCUCCGUGGAUUUCUUUCCAGUUCUCUCUAUCUCAAUCUAUACCACCCACCCAGUCACCCAACCAGAAACUUGCAUUUUCUUGAUGUAUCCUUUUCCUUAACAUUCCUAUCUAUCUUUCAGUUCACUCAUUCAUUCCAUUUACUCUCGUUCCUUCUCUCUAGCAAAUUGCAGAAGACAGUGUCCCCCUUAGGGUGUUAGGUUCAUUUAUCUUUCUGCAUUUUUAUAAUAAGAGAAGAUAAGAAAACUAAAAGGUGUGUCAAUGAAUUCCCAUGGGAAAAAGUGAGAAGUGAUUCAGUGAUCCAAUGAUGUCCCAUCUCCCAAGGAGAAGAAUUGGAAGGCUUCACUUGACUGUAGGUGACCAUUAAGUCUGCUAGGUCAUGUUUAGCAUCCUUAACACUGGACCAGUGAAAUGCCUCCCCGAAUUGCGCAAUAGCAGCCAUGACACCAGGGAGAUACUCCAGGGAUGUGCUUUCCUCCUGGAAUGAGACUGCUUUGCUGCUAGCAGAAAGGUCUCUAGAAGGUCAGAGGCAGGGAAACUGGGGCUUGGGGGGAAGAGAGCAGGUGGGUAAAAAGAGGAGUGGGGAAGGUGAUUAUGCCAAUAUGGUCCUGUUUUCUUCUGACUAGAUGGUCAGAAAGAGCCAGUCAUGAAGGUUUCAUUGUGGCCCAAUGUUCAAUGGUGUUUUGGGGUUAAUAAGAAAUGACCAAAAUUGGUGUCAUGUAAAAAAAGAAAAAUUACAGAGUUGAGCUGGCAGAAGACUUUAAGUAAUAAAAUAAGUAAAUAUAAAAUAUGGUACAGUUUAUAAAAUUUAUGGUGAGUUGUUUUGUAGCUAGCCUUAGUUGAUUCUAUCUUGCCUAAGAACCACAUCUUUCCAAAGGCAUUCAGCAACCAAUGGAUCUUCCAAAUGUAAAGAUCAGUAUGCAAACAAAAG